rnacentral:lncRNA from 1 species
CCUGCUUCCUCCUUCACUCACCUGUGUCACUCCUCCCUGUAUGCAAGCAUUUGUUUUAGGCUCUGCUAUGGGAGAACCCAGGAAAAGAGAGUUAAGAUGUUCUGAAUUCAGAUAUUUUGUAGGAUGGGGCAGAAGAAAUGAGGAUGAUUUCAUUUGCCAACUUCCCCUCUUCCAUCUCUGGACUACUACCAAGGAACACAUCACGUUAAGGAGAAUGCUAUGAGAGCAAAGCAAUGAGAGAGAAUACAGGAAAAACGUGGAAGCUUCAGUGCCUUAUUUUACCCAAGCAACAAACUCAAGGCAAGGCUUUGUGGAGUACCCUUCUAUCUGCCCGAGAAUAGACUAUUUGAGAUAUGCGGUAGGCAUUUCGGAAAAUCCAGUCGAGUAUGAGGUUCAACCCUCUGCAUUUUUUUUUUUUUUUUAAUGAAAAGAGCUUGAGAAGAACUCAAUUCAGCUGCUGCUUCAUCUAGGGCACAGGUGUAUGUGUUCAUGAUUUCAAGGAUGAGGUGAAAAGUCUCCUCAGUCAACCAGUGUUACAGCUUCAAAUAAAAGGAACACAUAUUGAAGCUGUAAAGAUGUCCUCAGACUGAGCUUCACAUUCAGAACUGCUGUCAAACUCUCACUUUAAUGGGCACUUAAAUUUAAUGUCAAGCUGAUGCCUAUGGAAGACCUUGAUUAAAUUUGCAAAGAGUAGACUCUAACUGAAACAGAACUUUAGAGUUGUCUCAUUUCGCCUUUCAAGCUUAAAUCCCAGAAGUUUUCUUCUCUUCUUUGUAAAGAAUUACAGAAGUUUGCUUGCAAAGACCCUGAGUAUCAAUAAGACAGCAAAGUGUAACAAGCAAAACACCCGGCAUGUUUUUAGAGAGAGAAGAAAUCCCUUAGCUUAUUAAAAUUCUAUGUGAAUUAAAGAUCUUUCCCAUUGCUUUAUUCCAUUCCCAGCUCAUUUGAAAUCUAUAGCUAUUCACUUUUAUGACUCUAUAAUAUUAUAAGCAGUCCUAAAAAGUUUACUUAAAACCUUCCUAGUGUUCUUUUAUGCACAUGGCAAUUAAGUUUUUUACUGUAUGGACAGAGUGAAAAACAUUAUGGAAAAACAACUUGAAAGAAAUAUGACAGAAUUUCUCCUAACAAUGUCAUUGCUUCAACCAGCUACAAAUUUCCAACCUAGUUUCUUUCUUUUGCUGUUUCUUCUUUUGUCUUUGAUACAAUCAUACAGCCUCUCUUCCUUGAAGAGAUAAUAAAAGACUAACAGUUAAAAGAUCUGGAAGACUCAUAAUCUUUUUCACUGGCUACGGUUUUGAAAAGAGGCUGUUGGCUUUUGAUUUUUUCUUUUGGGUUCUUUACAUCACCCAGAUCAAACAGGUCUGCUCUCAAAGAAAACAAAUCAAAAUUGUCAAGACCUGUGAAGCGUGAAAAAUAAAUUGCUUUUUCC